rnacentral:rRNA from 1 species
GACGAACGCUGGCGGCGUGCUUAACACAUGCAAGUCGAACGGAAAGGCCCUGCUUUUGUGGGGUGCUCGAGUGGCGAACGGGUGAGUAACACGUGAGUAACCUGCCCUUGACUUUGGGAUAACUUCAGGAAACUGGGGCUAAUACCGGAUAGGAGCUCCUGCUGCAUGGUGGGGGUUGGAAAGUUUCGGCGGUUGGGGAUGGACUCGCGGCUUAUCAGCUUGUUGGUGGGGUAGUGGCUUACCAAGGCUUUGACGGGUAGCCGGCCUGAGAGGGUGACCGGCCACAUUGGGACUGAGAUACGGCCCAGACUCCUACGGGAGGCAGCAGUGGGGAAUAUUGCACAAUGGGCGGAAGCCUGAUGCAGCAACGCCGCGUGCGGGAUGACGGCCUUCGGGUUGUAAACCGAUUUCGCCUGUGACGAAGCGUGAGUGACGGUAACGGGUAAAGAAGCACCGGCUAACUACGUG